UGGCUCAGUUGGUAGAGCAUGGGACUUUUGAUCUCAGAGUCAUGGGUUCAAGGCCCAC
rnacentral:tRNA from 1 species